UACGUAGGGGGCGAGCGUUGUUCGGAAUUACUGGGCGUAAAGCGUGCGUAGGCGGUUGGUUAAGUCUGUCGUGAAAGCCCUGGGCUCAACCUGGGAAUGGCGAUGGAUACUGGCCAGCUAGAGUGUGAUAGAGGAUGGCGGAAUUCCCGGUGUAGCGGUGAAAUGCGUAGAGAUCGGGAGGAACAUCCGUGGCGAAGGCGGCCAUCUGGAUCAACACUGACGCUGAGGCACGAAAGCGUGGGGAGCAAACAGG
rnacentral:rRNA from 1 species